ensembl:lncRNA
AUGGCCAGAUUAAGAAAGCUCCAAAAUAUCGGAAAGAAUCCUUUAAAAAAAAAAAUAGCCAUCAUUUCAAUGAUGGAAGGACAAUCUUUUUCUCCAUUUACAUACCACUCUUCCGUGACCCUUCCCCCUCCCUCUACUAUCUCUUCCCCACCCCCACUCCCCCUAAAAAAAAAUGAGGCCCUCAACAUAAACAAGAACCUGGAUGUUUACCGUGCUUUGUGCACACCCUCCAGCAGGCCAUGGAUUCGGACACCCCCUCCCCCGUGGUUCCACAGUUCAGUGGCUUGGCUUAGUGAGCAUCAUGCAACUCUGGGACUACCACCAAGGUAUUGUCAAGUCUUUUAUCACCCUGGCAACACAGCAGCUACUCUCAUAUGGUCACUAAGUACUAUCCCUAUGCAUACUUUGCUGAGAAUUUCCAAUACAACAUUAAAUCUUCAGAAACCUAAAUUCCUGGGAUAUCAAGAGUCAACUCAAUCCAGGGCCACCAAACAACCUCUCCAAUUAAGAAGUAUAUCGCUAUGGAAAAAAGAAUGCUUUUUGAGGAACAACUCAUGGAGGAACCUGAUCCAUAGA